rnacentral:lncRNA from 1 species
UGCGCAAAGUUAUUCUAACUUCCAUCUACUAAAGGCAAUACGGAUUCAUGACUACCCAUGUGGAAGGACCAAUUCAUUUCAUAUCAUAUAAGCAAUUUGUGGUUUGCUAAACCAUCAACACAUUUUCAGCUUCCCAAAUCAUGAUACGAUCUAUGACUAUGACCGUGUCAGCCACAGUGGUCCUACAUGUAAACUAUAAUCACGGCCGUACAUCACCAAAGGUGACCCCUAAAAUCAUAUCACGUCACCACUCUCGUUAGAGGGUACACCAUCAUCCACAGGGAGCAGUCAUCUUACUUCUUUUCAUACUAGAUAGGGGAGAAACAAAAAUCCCUGAGAGAUAAAAAGUAUAACAAAUCAUGUCAUUUAAAUACCAUACAUGCCAAUAUUAAUAAUUGUUUCUCAUGUUUACGAUAUAAUCAUCAUGCUUCAGCACUUUAUCAUGUCAUCCUGCAUUUUACUUAUUUAUACAUAUAAUAUAAACAUGCAUUAACAUAUAACAUGUGCCCAAAUAAUCAUUACAAUAAUUAAGCAGGAACCAAUCGGUUUAUAUAUGUUAAAUAUUCCAUUUAAUUAAUUUAGAAAUACUCCCUAGAAUGUAAAGAUAAAGACUAAAUUCCAUACCGAAGCUUGAAAAUUUUCCUAUGUCUUUCUUCCUUAUUGUCCUUCCUCUUCUCUCUCUAGC